rnacentral:rRNA from 1 species
UACGAAGGGGGCUAGCGUUGUUCGGAAUCACUGGGCGUAAAGCGCACGUAGGCGGACUGAUAAGUCGGGGGUGAAAUCCUGGGGCUCAACCCCGGAACUGCCUUCGAUACUGUCAGUCUCGAGUCCGAGAGAGGUGAGUGGAAUUCCUAGUGUAGAGGUGAAAUUCGUAGAUAUUAGGAAGAACACCAGUGGCGAAGGCGGCUCACUGGCUCGGUACUGACGCUGAGGUGCGAAAGCGUGGGGAGCAAACGGG